rnacentral:snRNA from 1 species
AUUAAACCGGAUAAUUUAAAAA